rnacentral:rRNA from 1 species
UGGGGAAUAUUGCACAAUGGGCGCAAGCCUGAUGCAGCGACGCCGCGUGGGGGAUGAAGGCCUUCGGGUUGUAAACUCCUUUCGCUAUCGACGAAGCCUUCGGGUGACGGUAGGUAGAUAAGAAGCACCGGCUAACUACGUGCCAGCAGCCGCGGUAAUACGUAGGGUGCAAGCGUUGUCCGGAAUUACUGGGCGUAAAGAGCUCGUAGGUGGUUUGUCGCGUCGUCUGUGAAAUCCCGGGGCUUAACUUCGGGCGUGCAGGCGAUACGGGCAUAACUUGAGUGCUGUAGGGGAGACUGGAAUUCCUGGUGUAGCGGUGAAAUGCGCAGAUAUCAGGAGGAACACCGAUGGCGAAGGCAGGUCUCUGGGCAGUAACUGACGCUGAGGAGCGAAAGCAUGGGUAGCGAACAGG